GCAGUUCGUGCGUGCGGCCUCGAAGGGUAUACUAAUAGAAGGGAUCACGUUUAUGGCCGUUGGGAUAGCCUCCCUGCACCAAAUCCAAAUCAUUAAGCACCCCCAGCUUAUGAUCAGCUGUGUCUGAUUGCCGAACGACAUUGUAGAAGUGGAACAGGGGCUCAUGCUCAAUCAUUUCUGAAAGCUAGUAUUAUAGAACAGGUGCACCUGUAACUUGUAGGCUGUUGGCAGAAAGGUCAGAAAAAGAGGGAAGGGAACAUGUGCUUAUCAUAUUGUCACGUCCCAACUUUCUUGGCAAGAUAGAAAAGCGAAACUGCCAAACUGCUACGCUAAUCAGAGAUCCCGGGAUAAUGUUCUUGUUCUUCAUGCGAGCAAACCCCCCAAGCAAAUGAAGCGAAGUCCCUGACGGGCAACUCGUUCGUGGAGACGCGCGCGCGCGCACCAAGCUGGCAAGCUGCAAGCACGAAGCCAUUGGUUGGAACGCCAUGACUCCAGGAGCUGUUGCAGCCUGCAGGUGCAGGGAGUCCAAAAGCACGUCAGAGUUCGGACUUCAGAGACCGGACAUUCCUUUUUAAUACAAUAGUGUUAUGUGAGCGUCUAGCACAGUGCCGUGUUCAGAGUUUAUACACCAGCAGUCUAGCUUGUUAUGUGAGCGUUGUAGCUCAUCAUAUUAUAAGAACGGAGCAUCUCGAAUAAAAUAGUGUUUGGUUUGAUUUGACGAGGACGUGUUCUUUACUUGUUAUAGGCCACAUGCCUAUAUAUACGACCGCUAAAAUAAAAGUGCACCAUCUCCAAUUAUCCAUCUGUUAACUGCAACUGCUCUAGCGUCGGUUUGGGGUCAGACGACCUCAUCCCGAUUGUUUUAUGCACGUUGACUCGAUCGGAAGGUUGCCCUACAGUAGCACAGUGUCGCCCACACGCAAGCAUAAACAACGGUACCGUACGCUUGUACGACACCUUACAUGGCAUACAUACCAUUCCAUACCAUGUCGUCUACACCGCUUUGUUAUACGAAUUGUUCCGGCGCCGCGCGUGCAGCGUAGUUUCACGCACGAUCUUUUCAGUCAUUCUACCGUGACCUGACCACCGGUGCUUCGUGCGCACUCUACUCUUUUGCUAGAAAAAUGCGGCGUAAUGAUGCUGGGAGCAACUUUGUUACGUCCGUGGCUAUCCGAACGGAUAGUAAAACACACCUAGACUUUCUUCACAAGGAUGGUAACAAUCACUCUACCGCUUUACGCCAGCAGCUUCCUACUUCGGAUAAGGCGAGUAGGCGACAAGGUAGAUAGCUGGGAAUCCCCCUUUUUAUCUUCCAGCCUAGUCGACCAGCGUGGGCAGCACAGUGCUUUGGAUCGAGAGGCUCCAACUAACGACACGCUACUUGCAUGUGAUCCCGGCUCACGAAUGACGAGCGGCGGCUAAAGCAACUUUCGUUAUUGGUUGUCGGUCCGUCCCUGCCGCUUCUCCGGCGGCCGGCGCCGGUCGCGCCGUCGUGUCACGCCGAGGGCCGCCACCCUUUGCCGUCCGUCUAGCUAGCACUGUCGUCGUCGCCGGCCUCAGGCGUCAGGCGUCGCGUGCUCACGCUGGCUUCUGGGUAGCGCGACAUGUGCGAAUAGGCCAAAGAUAGAAGCGACGACAGAUUCUGAAGCAACGGUAUCCGG
rnacentral:lncRNA from 1 species